GAUGACCGCUGGCGGCGUGCCUAAUACAUGCAAGUCGAGCGAACAGACGAGGAGCUUGCUCCUCUGACGUUAGCGGCGGACGUGUGAGUAACACGUGGAUAACCUACCUAUACGACUGGGAUAACUUCGGGAAACCGGAGCUCAUACCGGAUAAUAUAUUGAACCGCAUGGUUCCAUCGUGCAAGACGGUUUUACUGUCACUUAUAGCUGGAUCCGCGCCGCAUUAGCUACUUGGUAAGGUAACGGCUUACCACGGCGACGAUGCGUAGCCGACCUGAGUGGGUGAUCGGCCACACUAGAACUGAGACACGUUCCAGACUCCUACGGGAGGCAGCAGUAGGGAAUCUUCCGCAAUGGGCGCAAGCCUGACGGAGCAACGCCGCGUGAGUGAUGAAGGUCUUCGGAUCGUAAAACUCUGUUAUGAGGGAAGAACAAAUGUGUCAGUAACUAUGCACGUCUUGACGGUACCUAAUCAGGAAGCCACGGCUAACUACGUG
rnacentral:rRNA from 1 species